rnacentral:rRNA from 1 species
AGGGUGCAAGCGUURUYCGGAAUUAUUGGGCGUAAAGSGUGCGYAGGCGGUUUAUUAAGUCAGUGGUGAAAUCCUGKGGCUCAACUUCGGAACUGCCKUUGAUACUGGUAGACUAGAGURAGGUAGAGGURGGUGGAAUUCCAGUGUAGCGGUGAAAUGCGUAGAUAUURGGAAGAACACCGAUGGCGAAGGCAGCUCACUGGGCCUACUGACGCUGCAGCACGAAAGCGUGGGGAGCAAACG